rnacentral:lncRNA from 1 species
GAACAAAGAAACAAAUUAAGCAAAAAUGUUUGUUUUACCAUGUGAUCACGUUGUAUACAACUUUUUUCUCCAUGUACCAAAGAGCGAGGCUACAUGAUGCACAGAGUUCCAUGGUCAGAAGGUAUGAGAUUCUAUGAGGUGGUAUAUCCAUUUAAUUUUGUAAACUUAAUGCUUGUUUCCAGGCUGUUAUACUUCAUUAUAACAUAUAAAAGAACAAUCAAAUUUUUUUCUCCAAGUAUCAAAGAUUGAGACCUGAUGAGGCAUUGAUUGUUAAAAAAUGGAACCCAUUGUUGCAUAGAGUAUGAAAAGUAUGAGAAAUUUGUCUGUUCGCAAGUUUUAUGUGGCAUGCUUAAUGCUGUUUGAAUAAUUAACAAAUAUACAAUGUCUUGCAUAAUUUGUAUGUCUCUUAAUUUAAAGUGAAAUUUCUGUCUCAUAUUGACAGUCAAAGACCAGAUGUGGCACCAUCUCCUGCAACCUCUUACUUGUCUUUCAAAAGCAAUCAUUCAAUGGAUCGACCGAUUGUGUUCAGAGACAGAACUCAGAAUAACAAUGUUAAAUGUCUGCGAUUCGAAGAGGCUCUAUCUCCAGCACCGUCACUCCUGUCUGUAAAGAGUAAUCAGUCAAUGGAUCGCCCGAUUGUGUUAAAAAAUGAAAAGUAUGAGAAUUUAACCUGUUUUAUAUUUUGUGCUUAUUGUGUUAAAAAAUAUAUUUUAUUAGUUACAGCUGUGCUUGUUUUGCAUAGCAUGUCUCUUGCACAAUGUUGAACUUCUGUUGUCUUUCCCAUUAUUAUUAAAGAUUAAAAUCAUAUGAAGCAGCAUCUCCAGUACCUUCCUUCACAUCACUGAUGUGACACCAUAAAUAAUAAUAUUGUAUUAGUUACAGCUAUGCUUGGUUUGCACAGCAUGUCUCUUGUACAAUGUUAAUAUCCUGUUGUCUUUCCCAUUCUUAAAGAUUAAAACCAUGUGAAGUAGCAUCUCCAACACCUUCCUUCACAUCUCUGAAAAGUGAUCAGUCGGUGGAUCAACUGAUUUUGUUAAGAGAGAGAAUGCAGUAUUACAGGUAUGAAACUAAAUGAUGUAUGCAUACAUUGUGCUUGAUGUGUAUUCAAUAAACAAU